CUACGGGUUGCUCCAGUGGGGAAUAUUGCACAAUGGAGGAAACUCUGAUGCAGCAACGCCGCGUGGAGGAUGACACUUUUCGGAGCGUAAACUCCUUUUAUAUAGGAAGAAGAUGACGGUACUAUAUGAAUAAGCGCCGGCUAACUCCGUGCCAGCAGCCGCGGUAAUACGGAGGGCGCAAGCGUUACUCGGAAUCACUGGGCGUAAAGAGCGUGUAGGCGGAUUAAAAAGUCAGAAGUGAAAUCCUAUAGCUUAACUAUAGAACUGCUUCUGAAACUCUUAAUCUAGAAUAUGGGAGAGGUAGAUGGAAUUUCUGGUGUAGGGGUAAAAUCCGUAGAGAUCAGAAGGAAUACCAAUUGCGAAGGCGAUCUACUAGAACAUUAUUGACGCUGAGACGCGAAAGCGUGGGGAGCAAACAGGAUUAGAUACCCUGGUAGUC
rnacentral:rRNA from 1 species